rnacentral:lncRNA from 1 species
CUUCUAGACUCGGCCCUCCUAGAGGUGCUCCAGCAUGGGGUCAGGCUUAGUCUUAGCAGGAGCGGAGAUUCAGGGAAAGCCUCGGCGCUGAGAAGCUUCGAGCCCAUCGUAGCCGACCUCAACGCCGGCCAGGGACGCGUGCGACGCGCAGGGACCUCGAGCACUGGGGAAGCUUCAGUCGGGUGCUCAAGAAGAGCGCGGGACCCAUGAAGGGGCUCGCACCAACCGAGCCCGCAUCAGUUGGGUGCACAAAAGAACGUGCACGAGGCUUCAUCCCCGGGAGGAGUUCAGAUCUUUGGGUCCGGUGAACCCGGAUCCG